rnacentral:rRNA from 1 species
AAUGAACGCUGGCGGCAUGCCUAACACAUGCAAGUCGAACGAAGGCUUCGGCCUUAGUGGCGCACGGGUGCGUAACGCGUGGGAAUCUGCCCUUGGGUUCGGAAUAACAGUUAGAAAUGACUGCUAAUACCGGAUGAUGUCGUAAGACCAAAGAUUUAUCGCCCAAGGAUGAGCCCGCGUAGGAUUAGCUAGUUGGUGGGGUAAAGGCCUACCAAGGCGACGAUCCUUAGCUGGUCUGAGAGGGUGAUCAGCCACACUGGGACUGAGACACGGCCCAGACUCCUACGGGAGGCAGCAGUGGGGAAUAUUGGACAAUGGGCGAAAGCCUGAUCCAGCAAUGCCGCGUGAGUGAUGAAGGCCUUAGGGUUGUAAAGCUCUUUUACCCGGGAUGAUAAUGACAGUACCGGGAGAAUAAGCUCCGGCUAACUUCGUG